GGGCCCGUGGCUCAGCCUGGUAAGAGCGCUCGCCUGAUAAGCGAGAGGUCCGGGGUUCAAACCCCCGCGGGCCCACCA
rnacentral:tRNA from 1 species